rnacentral:rRNA from 1 species
GACGGAGGAGGCAAGCGUUAUCCGGAAUUAUUGGGCGUAAAGCGUCCGCAGGCGGCUUUUUAAGUCUGUUGUCAAAGCCCACAGCUCAACUGUGGAUCGGCAAUGGAAACUGGGGAGCUAGAGUGUGGUAGGGGUAGAGGGAAUUCCCGGUGUAGCGGUGAAAUGCGCAGAUAUCAGGAAGAACACCCGUGGCGAAGGCGGCUCUCUGGGCCGGUACUGACGCUGAGGAGCGAAAGCGUGGGGAGCAAACAGG